CUCCCGCACAGGAACUUCCGCUAGCCGAAAGGAAAAGGAGCGGGCUGCAUUUUGAGUCCCACAAUGCAACCAUUAACUGCCAGUAGCUCCUCAGCCAGAGGUGGGGGCCUCACAAACCCUUGACCAGCUGUGAUAGAAUGUUGAAGAGCUCCACCUUGUCAGAAGAAGAAUAAGUGAAAGAAAUGCUUCGCGUGAGGAUUCAAAGCAUGCCUGUUUGGAAGAUGGAGAGGACCCUGCACAGAAAUCGGAAAGAAGUCCCAGAAUUAAGGACCUUCGGCCAACAGCUAGAGAAGAAAAACUCCAGUCCUACUAUAUGAUGGGCAAUAUUCCAGCUGAGUUUACGCUUUGCUCUGUGUUAGUGGGCUAGUAUGAUCGUCAAUCCUCUUUGUCAACUAUUUCGGAUUAAAAAGCUGCUAGGACAUUAGUGAGGCAUGCAUUUGGAUGUGCCUGUGAAGGGGCUCCUGGAGAGAAUUAACUAAAGCGAAACAGUAUACCUUGAAGGUGUGAGUCACCAUGGGAGUGGGCUGGGGGAGUCUGGCCUGAAUUAAAACAGGGAAAGGAGAAAGGCAACCGAGGACCAGCACUUCUUUUCUGUGUCUUUCCUUUUUCUAGACGAGAUAAGCCCAUGAAGAGAUGUAAAAUCCCAACCACAAAACCCUUUCUGCCAGAUAUUUUUUCACAGUAUUGAGAAAACUAACAUACCCUUUUGACCUACCAUUUGUGAAUCCUGUCUGAUAUCAGAGUGGGUUGGACAGUCUUGAGUAGUACUUUGGUCCUCUUGAAAAGAAAAACAUAAUUCUCAAUUUAAAGGAAUAAGAGAUAGUUUAUUCUGGAACCAAAUAUGAACCUGGAAACAAAGAUUCAUUUUACCACAAAUACCACAUUCCAAUAUGGUAGCAGUUUCAUGAUUUUUUUUUUAUGGUAACAGAACAAAGUUGUACCUCAAAUACACUUAAAAUAUAUACUUAAAUACACUAACAUAUCCAAUAGACAGGUUACAGUUUGUUAUAGGCCUCAGUGGAUUUCUGGUGACAUUCUUAGGGUUUUGUAUAGCUGGAGCUAGUGGUUUGCUCAGAGUAUAUUUGAACCUUUUGAUAGUCAGAAAGGUAUUAGGUCAGACAUGGAGUGGGUAAUGAAUAGCUUUCAUUGAAGCGAAUAUGAACCCAAAAUAAUUUGGUUCUGGUCUGCAACAUUUUUAACUCUUCAUAAUCAUGAAGGUUGGUCGUUUAUAGAAUCUCUAGCAGGUUUAAUUCUUUGUUUCUUGUUUUGUUGUUAUGUUUUGUUAUCUGUUUGCUGUGCUAUGUUGUGUUUUUCUGGGAACUUGAGUUCAGUCCCUAGUACUGGCACAUACUCAAGGGUUACAUGCACACACUGAUGUGCUUUCUUUCCUCCAAGUGCCUGAUAUUAUUGUACUGAAUCCCUGCAUGAGUUUGGAGGUAUGCAGCCAGCUGUAUCCUAGCCUGUGACUGAGAAAGGCUAAAACUCAGUAGCAAACCUACUUCCAUGGCUCUAACUGAAACAAAGGUUUUCUAGUUUGUCUUUAGGGUCAUAGAUAGAUGUCUCUCCUAGUAAGCUCCUGCAUGAGCAGUCCUGCUCUCAAACCACAGUCAAGAUAUUUAAUUCUACGUCAAGAUUUGUGGCAGUACUGAGGUCAGAAGGGCAGCCUGUGCUGGUUACUGAUUAAUGUGGCUCCCUCUGGGUCCCUAUGUGGGCCAGUGUGUCAAACAACAAUGGAGAGAGGUUAGGAGGAGAUUAACACCUCUUUACAUCUCUUAUGAUACCAACGUUAGAAUGUCUGCCCCAUGGGCUAACACAAGUAUAUCUCCUAGCUUGGACUUUAAAUAGACAGAAUUUUCUGAGACCAUGAUUGAGAGGGACUUGGGAUGAUUCGAAACCAUUUCAGAUCUGCUGCGUUAUUUAGAUUACUGUGCGUAUUAGUUACUUUUCUAGUGUUGUGAUGAAACACCACAACCGAGGCAUCUUCUAGAAGAAAGGAGUUUGGGGGCUUCUAGUUAGAGAGGCUUAGAGUCUGUGAUACAGACCUGAGGCAGCAGGCUGCAGGCAUAGUAGCUAGCGCAGAAGCUAUGCUUUCACAACCCAAAUCCCAAUUAAGAAGCAGAGAUAGAGCACCAGGAAUGCUAUGAGGCUUUAAACUAGUGGUUCUCAACCUGUGAAUCAUGACCCAAAGGAGAUUGCAUAUCAGAUAAUUACAUUAUGCUUUAUAACAGUAGUAAAAUUGGUCAUGAAAUCAUUUUAUGAUUGAGGUUGGAGGAGAUUGCCAUAACAUUCAAACCACCACACUACCACAGCAAGCAUGUUCCAGUGACAGAUAGUUGAAAUCCCCAGAAGCCUCUUAUAGAUGCAAGGUAGUCUACAAAUCAGUGGAACUGGAGCCCAGGUUUGGGCCAUUUUGGAUCUGCUGUAGGUUGAAAGACCUUUCCUGGAAAUGAACAUGGGUAUGUCCCUUUUUUGUACUUUGUGCAAACAAAACUGAUCUUAAAUUAUAGAUCAGCAAGCUAGAUAUUAAUUAAAAGGUAAUUCCAAAAUUUAUGGCCACCACUGAACGCAUUGGUACUGCCUCCUGAAACAGCAAUAUGCGAGACUUCUCCAAGGCUCCUUAGCAGUUAGUGUUAGUAGUCAGACCAAAGUAAGGCAUUUAUGAGCUUAGGUCUAGGAACACAUUCUCUAAGUCUGCCAUCUAAGUCAAGGUAACAUGUCUAAAAGAUUAUUUUCACUCUUGCUGUUCACUGUUUUAAACCACCCAGUCAUAAGAACAUUCACAGCACACAUUUACAAAGAACAUAUGGUAAGCCAUAAAUCAAUCUCAAUGCGUUAAAAACAACUUCCAUCAUAAACCAUGCUAUCUCUUAACAAUGAAAUCAAACUGAGAUUAAAAAAGAAAAAUGACAGAAAAAGAGGCUGGAGUUAUUAUCUAAAUUCAUAUAAAGCUUGCCUUAUAAUACAUGAAAUUUGAGGUUCAAUCCUUAGUACCACAAAAGAAAAGAAAAAAAUUACAUGAAAAUAUUUAGCCACUUAUNNNNNNNNNNNNNNNNNNNNNNNNNNNNNNNNNNNNNNNNNNNNNNNNNNNNNNNNNNNNNNNNNNNNNNNNNNNNNNNNNNNNNNNNNNNGAGGGCUUAUGGGAAAGGUUAAAGGGAGGAAAGGAAAGGGAUAAAUUAUAUAAUUAUAUUAUAAUCUCUAAAAAUAAAAUGAGAAAGAGGGGAAUGGGGCACCCAUUGCUAAUAGUAGCCUUGGAGCUAUUGGCAAGUGAUAGCUGCUAGAAGAGAUUCAGUUUUCCCUAAGGGUGUCCCACAUUCCAGUGGAAAGUCACACGUCCAAGAGUAUUUGGGCAGCACAGAUUUCUUUUGACAGGACAAAAGACAUGAUGAGUGGGUGAGAAUGGUGGAAUGAACCUUGGAAAAGAUGAAGGAGGGAGGAUGAAUAUGACCAAAACACAUUGUAUGAAACUCUCGAGGAACUCAUAAUGUUUUUAAAGAGGCAGUUGCUUAUAGACAUGCCCACAAGCCAAGCCAAUGUAGGUAAUCCAUCAUUGAGACUCUCUUCCAAGGUGUCAUUGGGAUAAUGAAAGCUAAUGAUUACAAAACCCCACUAAUGUGGAAAAAAAUAACAUUAUCCUCAGAUAUUUGACAAUAUAGAAUGCACCCCGUGAGUUCAUUCAUAUACUCAGUACCUCUGUUAUGAAGAUGUUUGCUAAUUUAUAUUUGUGAUGAGUUGAGAUAAUGUGACUCCAAUUAGGACAUUAAAUAAAAGGCUUUUCAGCUGUUUGGAUUU
ensembl:processed_transcript 9530051G07Rik RIKEN cDNA 9530051G07 gene